rnacentral:rRNA from 1 species
CAUAAACCGUGGCUCAGUUCAGAUCGUAGGCUGCAACUCGCCUACGUGAAGGAGGAAUCGCUAGUAAUCGCAGGUCAGCAUACUGCGGUGAAUACGUUCCCGGGCCUUGUACACACCGCCCGUCACACCAUGGAAGUUGGCCACGCCCGAAGCCGUUACUCCAACCCUUGUGGAGGAGGACGUCGAAGGUGGGGCUGAUGACUGGGGUGAAGUCGUAACAAGGUAGCCGUACCGGAAGGUGCGGCUGGAUCACCUCCUAA